GCCAGUCUCUGCAUAAUAAAAUGAUUAUGAGCCUAAAUUUUACAAGUACCAGUCCGUUGAAUAUAGAAACGUGAUACUCAUGCUUUUCCAUCCUAAACAACAGAACUAUCUGCACUUCGAUUUACAAAUUCAUUGGCUUUUUCCGACAGUGCCCACAACUGUUAGUUGUUACAGGUAAAAAAAGCAGUAUGUGAUAGCGAACUCUCAGGAACGGUCGGGUUAGAAGAGGGAGGCCUAGGUGGAAGCGGGCUCUUCAGGAUUUGGAAUCGAAAACCGAUCUGACGGUGGAGAAUUUUCUUUGGAAGACUUGGGUUUCCGAGGGGGUCUGCGGCCCUUGAUUUCGGCACCGUUAAGGCUAGAAGAAGAAGAAAGUGGUGGAUCGACGAGAUGGGUAUCUCGCAAGACAGAGUUUCUUGGCUGCUUCACGUUAGAGAGGAAGAGCGAAAUUUUGGAGGUAUAGGAAGAGCGAAACGGAAUUUGAGAGAUAGGAAAUCGCAGGGUUUGAGGAAGACGAAGAAGAGAAGGGGAGAUGAGAGGCAGAGUAAACCGAUCGAGAA